UGUAGCCAGAAUAGGGCCGGAUCACAGGAAGUAAUUAUGAUGGUGGGGAGCACCACGGUAUGAGAGACAGAUGGAGCGGGGUAGAAUGUGGUUGGUGACAGUAUUAAAACAAACAAAAAAAGAGGAUAGAAAUGAAGAUCUGUAUAGAAAAAUCUUCAGAACAGGGAGUCCUGAAGAAAAUGGCAAAGGAGAUCAAAACCAGAAAACAGCAAUAUCCUCCCAGAUGGCUUUAACUUCAAAUGGCUUUGGGCAUAGUUUUAUUUAUUUUACAGAUCAAUUGUUUAUUUUACCUUGCAACUGAUUUUAAUUCAUAUUUGGUUAAGUCUAGGCAUCAACACCAUGAGAUUAUAUUAGGGCAACCCAACACAUAGCUUUAGGAAGCAAGUUUAUUUGACAUUAAUCCACGUUCUUAGAUAAAAACUACAUUAUACCGUCUACCUUAAGCGCUCGGUGCGAAUUACAGGGGGAAAAGGGAUUUUGACCCACUUAAUUAAGGCUUCGAGUAUCCCAAAAAAGAGGAAAAGCAAAACGUUGUGAGGUAUAAAACACCUAUAAACACAAUUUCAUAUAUACAAUCAUAAAUUUACACUAAGUGAAAUAAAAGUGUGUUUUUUAGGAAUCCAGACACCCCUUAAAUUGGACCGUACCAAUUCUGGACCUGUAGUACUUUUACCUCCCACCCCUGUCAAUCAAACAGCCAUAAAAUGAACCACCUGUGUCCCUGCCGAACCGCAACAGUUAGCUGUUCAAAAUUACAGUUUUGGUUCAUCAUGUUAGCAAGCGGCUUUUGUUGGCCUUACUAACGGAAGUUAGUGUACGAUCCAUAGCUUCCGAUUCUGCGACUGGACAGAGGGCUGCUACAUUUUUAACUUCGAACCGGAAGCGUCAAAUCAGAAGCUAACUUCAGAGUCUUGUUUACCAUCUGAAAAGAUCCACUGUGGGGUCCGCCAGAUCAACAAUCAAGCGAAUUUUUCCACCUUUAUCCACCUG